rnacentral:rRNA from 1 species
UACGUAGGUGGCAAGCGUUGUCCGGAUUUACUGGGCGUAAAGAGCGCGCAGGCGGUCGUGCAAGUCGCGUGUGAAAGCCCCCGGCUCAACUGGGGAGGGUCACGCGAUACUGUUCGACUCGAAGGCAGGAGAGGGAAGCAGAAUUCCCGGUGUAGUGGUGAAAUGCGUAGAUAUCGGGAGGAAUACCAGUGGCGAAGGCGGCUUCCUGGCCUGUUCUUGACGCUGAGGCGCGAAAGCUAGGGGAGCAAACAGG